CUCGGUUUGUCAGACAGACCUUAUGAAAGCAGUUUUAGUAAAGCAGUCCUCAGUUAGAGCGUUAUCUCAGAUACCCCUUCUCGUGAGUCUCCUCCUAAGCUUCUAAAUAAGUAAAUUCUGUAACGCGAGCCACGAAAUCCGCACCGUGCGGCACACAAUUUUUUGAGGAAGUAUCUAUGUCUAACAAAAUGACUGGUUUAGUAAAAUGGUUCAACGCUGAUAAAGGCUUCGGCUUCAUCACUCCGGACAACGGCGGCAAAGAUGUGUUCGUACACUUCUCCGCAAUUCAGAGCAAUGGCUUCAAAGUUCUGGAAGAUAACCAGAAAGUAGAAUUCUCUAUCGAGAACGGCGCUAAAGGCCCGGCAGCUGCGAACGUAGUUGUUCUGUAAGCGUUGAAUCCCUCGCUUGAAUUUA
rfam:Escherichia hermannii NBRC 105704 DNA, contig: EH10570415.